GGAAUUGUGCUCGAUUAAAGGGAACAUUUUGAUAGAAUGAUACAUGGGGGUUAAAAUCCCCCCAAUUCCU
rnacentral:tRNA from 1 species